GUCUACGGCCAUGUCACCCUGAACAAGUCCAAUCUCCUCUAAUCUCAGAAGCUAAGCAGGGUCAGACCUGGUUAGUACUUGGAUGGGAGACCACCUAAGAAGACCAGGUGCUGUAGGUG
rnacentral:rRNA from 1 species